GACGAACGCUGGCGGCGUGCUUAACACACGCAAGUCGAACGGAAAGGCCCUGCUUUUGUGGGGUGCUCGAGUGGCGAACGGGUGAGUAACACGUGAGUAACCUGCCCUUGACUUUGGGAUAACUUCAGGAAACUGGGGCUAAUACCGGAUAGGAGCUCCUGCUGCAUGGUGGGGGUUGGAAAGUUUCGGCGGUUGGGGAUGGACUCGCGGCUUAUCAGCUUGUUGGUGGGGUAGUGGCUUACCAAGGCUUUGACGGGUAGCCGGCCUGAGAGGGUGACCGGCCACAUUGGGACUGAGAUACGGCCCAGACUCCUACGGGAGGCAGCAGUGGAGAAUAUUGCACAAUGGGCGGAAGCCUGAUGCAGCAACGCCGCGUGCGGGAUGACGGCCUUCGGGUUGUAAACCGCUUUCGCCUGUGACGAAGCGUGAGUGACGGUAAUGGGUAAAGAAGCACCGGCUAACUACGUG
rnacentral:rRNA from 1 species